rnacentral:lncRNA from 1 species
UUGAGUAGUGGCAUUCUGUGACGGCAUUUGUUAAUUUGAUACGGCACGACCUGAAGUUAGUAGAUUUUGGUUGAUAAGAAAUGACACGAUUAUCAAUUAUGUAGAAUAUGUGUCCCUGUUUAUUAAUCGUAUUUGGUUCGGAAUUAGAGUUACUCGCAAACUUGUCUAUUGAUAAAGUUUACUAAUAUACACACAAACACACGUAUGUACAAGGUUCAUUCUCUAGAAAGAUGUGAGGAAAAUGGCGGAAACGUUUAAUUUUGUUAGGAUAGAUGUCUGUGGUAUUGAUUUAUUGACAUUUACACUCUAUCACAUGUUAUAGCCAUUAUAGUGAAUUUUUCUGUCAUCCGUAGAAAUAGUCCAAUUAAGACGAAUUACGAUAAAUUAUUCUCUUCAUCUGAUGUAUGGUUGAUUUUUUUUCUCCAUUAAUUGUUCUACUUAUUAUUUGUUUGAUUUUUUUUCUCAUAAGAUCUUGGGAGGGACUAAAAAAAAUAUUAAAAGUGAUGGCAGAUCUUAAGGUGGCAAUACAAAACAAAUGUGUCAGCAGGCAGAUACGAUCAAACUUGGUAAAGCUUAAUGUCGAAAUGGCUGCUUGUGGUGGUUUACUUCUGCAUGACAAAAGUAAGUUUGUGGGUGUUUUUUGCUUGUCCCCUUGGCAGUCAAACUUUCUUUUGUACCUUGAAACAGUUUGAUUAGCUCUCAUAAGCCAAUCAGGUCUUGUGUAUAGGUUUGAUUAGCAACUGGAAGUUUAACCAGGACUUAGGUAGAGUUGCUGAACCACCUAAAUAUCGCUAGUGCCUUCACUCGCUCCAUUUUAUCACUUUAUAUUUUUAUAUCUUUAUUUUUCUACAGGUUUAAAUUUAUUGUUGCAUCUCCACUUGCUUCCCUUAUUAUUUACUCUUAUUAUAUUGCUUACACUUUUGAGGUUUAUUCGUUUAAGAAAGAAUUGGUCUUACACUUAAUAUAGUCACAAGUUUUGUUUAGGGUAACUGAUAUGUUUGUUUUUUAAAAAAAUGAAAAGAAAGAGGAGGAUAGGAAAGGAGGAGAGAGGAAAGAAAUUAGAAAAGAAAAGAUAAUUUUAAUGAUAAAUCAAACAAUAAAAUUGAGAUUAACUCUUUUUUUUCUCUAAUUUUCUUUUCCUUUCUUUCUGUUUUAUUUUUCUCCUCUCCUUUCGUUUCUUCUAACUAAAUGCGGACUAUGAUUUAUGUAGAGAAAGAAAUUAAACUAAAUAAUUUUCAGAAUCCUUCUCUCAUAUAUCUACAAGUAUUAUUAGCUUUCCAUUGGAAUCGGCUGUCGUCAAAACAACUUGUUUUGAUAACAGAUAGUUGAAUCAAAUAAUUCAAUUCCUUGUUAAACAAUAGCUAUUCAUUUGUAUUGAUAUUGCUUUAGUUGUUUGACAUUUAGAAACACUUGGUUUAGCUAAUAAAUCCAUAAUGUGAUUCCCCUUCUUAUAUGGGUUUGGGUAAUUUAAGUUUGAAACUUGGUUAAAAAAUGUAGUAAAUAGCUUUAAUUGGUAAGGAGCUGUUUUGUAAUUGAUAAUGAUCUAAUGAUCCAAGAGUGAUCAUGGCAAUGGGAGCUAAUGCAUCAACCGUAGAGGGAUUUUAUACACACGUCUUCUUCUCUGAUGGUAAUGAUUAUGCCUAUUAGAAGGCAAUGAUGUAAAUUAAGAAUGCAACUCCACAAAGAUCCAUUUUCUUUUUAAUUAUAUCAUAAUGGAUAUUCAUAUAAAAAAAAAAAUUGAGGGCUUAUGAGGAUUUGGGAGGGGGUGCUAAUAGCUUCACAAACUGCAAAACUGAACUUGUUUGUGGUUAGGCCGAACCAUGAGCUUCCGUGAAGUGCGUGAUGUCUGGGUAAGGUUUGGCCUGCUUAUUGAACUAGCCCACCUAACGUUCACCCACCUGAUUUUGGGCCACAAAAUUCCAUAAAACUCAACUCAUACAUACACAAGCCGCCGCUCAAUUAUUGUAUUAAAUUGGGGGAAAAAUCAAUAAAGAAUCUAAAUUUAUUUUAGGAUUAAAUUUUAUAUUAGGAAAUAAUGGUAUAAUAUACUAAUAACUCCUAAUGGAGUAAAUUUUUUUAAAAAAAUCAAUAUUUAUUCAACCUAAAUACGAAACACAUAUCUUACCACAUGAAAAGAAAACUUUAGUUGUAGAAAACGAUGUAGAUAUAAAUUGUUUUGAUUCUUUAUUAGAAGAAGAAAAAGUAGAAAAUACAAAAGACAUAGCUAGCAAUAAUAGACUAUAAAUCACAGUCCUAACUUGGACAAUAUCUACAUGUCGUAAUGUUUCCGGGGCACAGCCUAAGCAUCCUAAUGUUGUGUUAUAGGGCAACUAGGUCAUAGAAUAUAGCAUAGACUUUCACUAGGUCUUAAAUAAUUGAAGCAUAAGCUUUCACUUAUUAUGAAAAGGACUUGCAAAAUCUUCUAUUGGGCAUCGAAGAGAUGGGGAUCUCUCUUUACUUUUCCAUGUCCUGCCAUUUUGCCCAUCACUUUCAACAAUUUAUUAGCUGCCCAAUUAUGAAAAUUUGUCCUAUGAUUGAAUGACAACUUUUGUCGUUUUGGAAAGGGACCAUUCUACUCCUAGCAAUUUAUUAGGAUUUUUAGUGUUUUAUUUAAAGCCAAGCAAAUUUGGUUCUUUGGAAGCCCUAGCUUCACCCCAGCCUCACCUAUAACUUGGGUGUGCCAGGCCUAAAAAUGGGGGAAAUCCAGCUAAGGCUCCCAAAAGGUUUGUCGUCUGCUUAAAUUCAGCAAUAUUGUACUGACAUACAUGUGGUUGGGAUAUUGGGGAGUGGGGACUUACAGAAUGCACUGAAGAUGAAAUAACAUUGGCAAUGAGCGAAAUUUUCGGCAUUGCAAAUCGUCCAUAUGUUAUUGUAAUAACCAGUAACAUAAAUGGGCACUAAGUUGUGGUCGAAUUGGUGUUUUCAAUAUUACUAACAGUACAGGAACUCAAAAUAAUUUUCCUCUAUCAAAGGAUAGUGCGAGUGAAUGUAUUUUUUUCAGGUAUUAUUGAGAGGAUGUGUGUGAAUGCAUGUUGACCAAAUUUUGUUAGAAUCUUAUUCAAAUUAAUUUGGCAGUUCUCACCGAAUCUAGCUCAAAUCUGAUUUAAACCAAUAAAUUUAUAUUUGAGGGAAGCUUGUGCUAAGUUUGGGUUUAUUUAUUUAUUAUGUAUUUUUGGGAGUAAGUGGUUUAUUUUAGGUACACUAAGUAGUGAGCUAAAAUAAUAUGCAUAGUGAGCUGAGGUAGUCAUAUGAUAAAUAAUAAGAAGAGCUUAGUGGAGCCUCAUAAGGGGUUGAUAUAUUGGACUAAUAUGUACUCAUGAAUAGCUCAAAUGUACUAGGGAGAUAGCUCAAGUGGUCUCACAUAAUGUUUAGUAUAACUGGAUACAUCAGGUAAGCUCAUACGUCUACAAGAGCAAAUAAUCACUAAUCGAUUAUAUAAAUAAGAGGUUACAUAAGAUUUUAUAUUAUCUAAGAUGAAUAACAUACUAGAUAACUAUAUAAAAAUAUUUGGUGUUAAUAAAAAUAAAGACGGUGAAUAAAGAUACGAAGAGUGAUAAUAUGGUGAGAAAAAUAAUGAAGGUAGAGAAUAGAAAUGGCUCCAAAAAAAUGAAGAGUGGUUAAUGAUCUAAAAGAUUGAAAGAAAAUGAGAUUUAAUUAUAUUUCUGAUUCCAUCACUUGCUAUAUGGGACUAUCCUCACCUUAUGGUGAACAUCUUCAAGUUCUUCGUCAAAAAGAAAAAUCAAAAUAAUUAGCUGUUAUGUUGAAGAAAACUAGACGAGUGUAGACUAGAAAGAUAGGACUAGAGUCGUAUGAUAGAAAGUGACCUUUCAUUACUAGACCUUCACCUUCUUGCUAGUCACAUGGAAAGAAUUGCCCUACCAUCCUCUAUUCAACAGUCAACAUACAUUAGUGUUUGGCCAAAAGAAUAACAGUAGCAAACUAUACCGAAUUUCCUUAGCAUUCAUUGUCACUUGGGUUUGAUUCAGAGAUUUUCGAGUAAUUUUAUUAAAUUAUUUUAUUUGAGUUCAAAUAUUGAAAGAUGUAAGAAUUAAAAUAAAGAUUUAAGUUUUGUUCACAUUUUCAUCUUAAUAUAUAUAUAUAUAUAUGCGUGUGUGUAAAAAAUUUAUUAGAACUCAUUAUAAAAUGAGUUGUGCUACACAUUUUAAAAUUUUAUAAAAAAAAUCACUUAAAAUUUAUAAAAAAUUAUUAAUUAUUCAAUAAGUGUCAAAACAUUUAUGUUGAAAUUUGAAUUAAAAUUUUGAUAUUGCUGCGAAAUAAGGUACUUGUAAAUUUUUAAGUGGUUUUAUUGAAAAAUUGUUUGAAUUUGUCAGCCGUUUGAUAUUUUGAGAAAAUUAAAAAAAUUGAUAGCCGCAUUGAAAUUAACCUUAAAAUUUCUUUUGAAGGAGUGAGGGCUGACUGGCCGAGGAGUAUGAGGAGAGAAUGUAGAUGGAACAGCCGUUGACAGUUGCCACUUGGCAUGCCCCAAAAAAAGCUAAAAAAGAGUAAUAAAUAAAAAGGCUGAUCUAGAACGACCUACCGUGACUCACAUCUGUGUUCUUUUCUUAGGCCAUAAAGAUUAUGACACGUGUAACUCUCUGCUCAUCCUAGCGUAAUGUAGUGCUCGUACUAAGGAUAUCCCAGUUCUGGCACCAACGCGACUUCCGCUUCUAUCCCACGCGCCGACGUGUUCUCACUCGUUUUUCUUUAAAGACAAUUAUACAAAGAAGAUUAUUAAUUUUAACUACGGUACCGCCAUCAAAUUCCAAAGGAAGAUAAUAGUUAGAUUUUGUUCGUUUUUAUUUUUUUUUAAUCAAUAUAUCUUCUGUUAUUCAAUGUGUAAUUUGUUAUUUUUAUUCGUCAAUAAAUCAUUUUAAAAACUAAUUUGUAAUCCAAUUAAUUUGUGUAAUCGAGUACUAUAAUAAAAGAACAUUAAAUU